GUUCGGCUGAGCCACCAGUCGCCCAACCUCGAGAUCUCAGCCGCUGUCGACACUGGACUGGACCUCAGCGUGUGCUCUUUCGCUCUCUCAGGCUCGCCAUCUCAUGUGUAGAAGCUAAGGACGGAUGCUUGAUCAGGUUGGGCUAGUUUUGGUCUCCGCCGUCCAUAGUCUGGGUUCAAGUGAGAAGAAGUUGGGCGCGCGCGCGUAAUUUUUGCAUCGACAUUCAAUUUGACUGUUCAGCUCGUAUAGUUGCACUGAGGAGCGUGGAAUAUCCGCGUCGAUGCGAUACAGUCCUGGCUCUUGGUAGACUCCCCACUCAGGGACUCAAAAAACCGGACGCACGAGGGCUUGAACCUGUGGGUCAUCUUUCGGUGAAGUUCAGUGUGUGUGCGGUGAAUUUCUAUGCCGUCUUGAUUGGAUGACCUAACUUUUGGUAGUGCGUGUUAAUUUAAUUACUACGUGUAUCGUGAGUGCCUCUGACCAAGUGAGACAAGCCGUAGUGGAAGAAGACCCUGUGAUUUGCCAAAAUUGUGUGAUUCAUGAUUUAUUUUCUUUUAGCUCGAAAGCGAAAGGUUCAAAUUGAUAGUAAAUCAAGUGCAAAUAGUGUUGGAUUGGGAAAGUGAACCGAUGCAUGCGUUUUGAUAGUGACAUCGAACCAACAACUCAUAGUUGUUCACAUUGAAGGAAAGUUGCGCAAAAAUCCGAAAAGCCAAUUGAUUAACAUAUUAACGCACCCCACGCACAAACACAGCUACAAAAUGGUUCGCUUACUAGUUCUGCUGCUGUGCAUUUCCAUAACAACCACUCAGAAGCCAGGCAGCUUCAGUUUCAAAGAGAAAGGUUUCAAGAACAAUCAUAACUACGACGUGGAUCCUCAAGUGCUCGAAAUUCAGCGCCAAAAUCUGAUAACCCAGAAAAUCCUCCAGCGCUACCUCGAGCGAAGAUUGCAUCCAGAGCGUAAGCCCCAGAUCCAUGUGCCAUCGGUGGACGAAAUCCUUCCGAAAUCGCCUCCUCCCGGCUCGGUGCGAGACGUUCGCCAACAGAAUACCACAUUAAGUGGCAAUCCAUUGCUGAGAAGUACCGCCUCUGGCAGUCGGUACAGUUUAUUUAACGAUUACAACAGCAAGCAGUACGAUUCGUUGGACGGGGAUGAAGAAUCGAUUCAGCAGCAGCAACGCCAGCAGGGACUGAUCGGCGAGGACUACGACGAUUCCGAAGGGGACUUGGAGCAGUAUGAGGAUCUGGGGGGCUCCUUGGAUAAUGAUCACAUUGACAUUGAAUCGUUGCAGUCGGGCGAAUCGGAGCAUGUCGAUUCGUUCUAUCGGGACAAGUCCUACCGGCAGAGAGCAUCCCAGCUCUCAGCGGACUAUGGAUCCGUGCUUGGCUUGUCGGCUCUAGAUAACGAUUUCGAUGAUCCGGAGGUGAGCGUUAUGAGCGAAAUUACUAACGAGCUUCGGCUGCUGACAGAGGCCAACAAGAAAAGCACUGGAAAUUCACUGGCCGAUGAAAUACGACCCACCAAGACUAGGGAGAAGCGACAGGCCAUUAAUAGUCGCACCAACAGGCGGAGAACUGCUCAACGGGAGCAAACGAUUACGAAUCGGAUCGAUUCGAGAUAUUAUUACUCAGAUGAUUAUAUCGAUUACACUACCACGCCGAGGAUGGCUAAGAAUUUGAGAGACAAUUAUGCUGACUACAGGCAGCAAUCAAAGAGCAAAAGUUCAAUCAAUGAAAUUAAGCCAAGUCGCCCGAGAACGGUUGGCAUCCAAAGCACUUUAACUAGGAAUACGGCGCGAUCGAGAAAUCGGGCUAAUACUUUGAAAUCGCUUGCGUACAAACCUAAUUACAACGCUAAUACUCGAAGACCUACUUUUACGCUAUCGGCUUAUGGAGGAAACAAUAAAGCUCCGUCACGUGGAAAUACCAGACGAGGAGGAAACAACCGAACAUAUAAAGAUGAGGAUUACAGAGGAAAUCGUUUUGGACAUACCACCUCAUCUGAUUGGCGAAAAAAGUCUGUCAGUUUGGGCAGUACCAGUCUGCAACCUAGUACUCCUGCGUUAACCGUAACCUUCUAUCUACCUACGGAUACUACUGUUUCGUUGGUUACGAAUUCCAAAACAGAGAUCAGUCUAAUCAAAACUACCACCACCAGUAUUGAAGAGAUUUGUACGUCGUGUUUUUCUCUCACUCAAGGACCGAACGGAUUGCCCGUCCACGUGCUCAACAAAGAAAUCACUUCUUUCAAUAGGGAUGGUCAAUUUGAAAUUACCAAGUUCAUUCUAAGCUCUACACCCACUACGACAGUGUCAAUUUCACAAAAUACAUUCCGGGGUCGUCAAACAGCUUAUUCGGCUACAAUCUCAACUACCAUCUAUGAAGCGAGCCCAUUCAUUCAGACCAAAGGCAACAAUAACCCCAACAGUGCAAUUCUUUCCAAUGCUCCAUUGGCUAACAUUCUCCUGUCUCAGCUACUACUUGGAAACCUUGGUGGUGUCGGAGAACCUAACCUAGCCCCACGUCCAACCGAGUUCAUCCCGGACCCCAACCGAUAUCAGCUCGUCGUCACUACGGCCACUGAAUACAAAACUCAUGUUAAGGAAAUUGUUACCACAGUAACUGCAACGAAGUCCAUCGUUCUUCCUAUUACAUUCCAAGGACGUGAAAUUCUUACAACUGUUUACGACACAGAUGUCACACCUACCGUUUUGACCUCCUUCAUCACAGAGACUCUAACAAUUCCCACCACUUCUACGAUCCGUAUUCAGCCUACAACAGAUGACCUGUCCAACAAACUGAGUCUUCUGCUGCCACUCCUAGAAGAACGCGAACGGCGAAAUCAACUGCUCUCAGCGGCUGCCGAACCUGCUCUACCAAUUAUCUCGACACCACCUCCAACUUCGAUUCUACCAAGCAGCGCGUCCAUAUCAAAGGUUUAUGUCUCCGGACAACAUCCAGGUGAAUUCAGCGUAUCGUUCACAACCAUCCUCAACACGUAAUACAGCGCAGCAACCGGCCUCAAACAGAGCCGGAUCACGUUAGAUCAGGUCUAGCCAGAGUCAAAUUUUAGGAGUUAAUAACAAUUAGAAUAUUAUAAGUUCGCUGAACUGCCAAUUUCAACUUUAGUCAAAACAAAUAGGACGCGUGCUAACCACACACUUAGAUGGAAGUACUGGAGGACGAGAGCAUUUUCGUACAGACGUAUGACAAAAUAUGGAAAUACUCGACAUAUACGAUGGAUGCUUAUGUACAACUACAAUCGUCGUUGCACCAAUGUAGUUUAGAGAUGUUACGUAUUAUUGCCACUAUUUUUGUAGGUCUUUUAUUUUUAUACGAAUAAAACGAAACGAUUUAAUUAUCGGG